UUCCGGUGGAUCCUGCCGGAGGGCACUGCUAUCAGAGUACGCCUAAGCCAUGCAAAUCUGCCCGGCGGCUUCGCCGGACGGUGUACGGCUCAGUAACAAGUAGUCAAUCUGCCCUAAGGACGGGUAUACCCUCGGGAAACUGAGGUUAAACCCCGAUGCUCCGCCUAUGCUGGAAUGCUUGGCGGGGAAAAUGCGAUGGAAAUUGCACCAUUUGCGCCUUAGGAUGAGACUGCUCCUGAUCAGGUAGUUGGUGAGGUAACGGCUCACCAAGCCGAUAAUCAGUAGGGGCAAUGGGAGUUGGCGCCCCGAGAAGGACACUGAGACAAGGGUCCUAGUCCUACGGGAUGCAGCAGGCGCGAAACCUUUACAAUGCGCGAAAGCGUGAUAAGGGAACUCUGAGUGGCAGCCGGCUUUUGCCGACUGUCUUUUGGCAACCCUAAAACGGUUGCAGAAUAAGUUCUGGGUAAGACCAGUGCCAGCCGCCAUGUGCUAUCCGCACAAUGCGCACGGUACGCGGUAAUACUGGCAGAACGAGUGGUGUCCACGAAUAUUGGGUCUAAAGAGACCGUAGCUGGCCUGCUAAGUCCACUGUGAAAUCUUGGGGCUCAACCUCAAGCGUGCAGUGGAUACUGACAGGCUUGAAAGCGGGGAGGUCAGGGGUACUUACGGGGUAUGGGUAAAAUCAGUUGAUCCUGUAAGGACCACCAGUGGCGAAGGCGCCUGACCAAAACGCGUCUGACAGUGAGGGUCGAAGGCUAGGAGAACGAAUCGGAUUAGAUACCCGAGUAGCCCUAGCAGUAAAUUAUGCAGACUGUGGUGUUGCGGUGGCUUCGGGCCACCGCAGUGCUGUAGCGUAGGUGUUAAGUCUGCCACCUGGGGAGUACGGCCGCAAGGUUGAAACUUAAAGGAAUUGGCGGG
rnacentral:rRNA from 1 species